AUAAAGGCUAAUAUACAGUUAGACUGCACAACUUGGAAGGAAAUGAUUUAAGGGAUGCAAGGAUAGCGCUACCUGUUCAUGAAUUACUGGUUAAACCACAGCUUGUGCCCUUAACUUAUUGAGUAACUUACCCCUGAUAUUAGGUUGACUGCAUCUCCUGCCAGGAACGUCGGGAAGACUAAACCAGUAGAUGGUCUCAGAAUUGGUCUCUGCAAUGUGGAACAUAAGAAAGUUAUCUGUUACUAUAGUUUAUAGAACUAAUCAGUAUUGCUACAUAUAUUAAGGGGGUUUUGUAAGGAUAGAUUGUAGUGGGCAUAUCUCAGGAGACCAUGAAAUAAUUAUAUUCCCUACAAAUGCAAUCAAUGCAAAAAUGCUGCCACACAAAAAACUUAUUGCUCUGUGGCCAUAUGUAACUAAUAUAGCUGAUGCUUGGUGUUAUUUCCAAGUUAAUAAACAGUUGUCUAUUCAGUCCAGUUAUUAAGGUUUCUACUUACCUCCCCAACUAGCAUUUCAUAGAUUACAAUGCCCAGAGACCACCAGUCGACAGAUCUUGAGUAUGGCUCCCUGGAUAGGAUUUCUGGAGCCAUGUAGCCAAAAGAUCCUUUCAGGCUACUUGUUCUGCCUUCGUAGCCAAUUCCUGAAAAAACAGUUUUUGUAAGUAAACUGAUGAUCAGUUGGGGCUUAUUUAUCUAUAUCAAUUCAGUUUAAUAAUGUUUAGUUUAAUAAUGAAACUGGGUAAAAUAUUGUCUGUGCAAAAAAUUAAACUACAAAUGUCAGUCACUUCAUGAACUUCAAUAACAUUAUGUGAAACUGAACCUUUUUUUGACGUGUUAGUAUGAGAAUCCUUACCGUCUUUGCUCAGCCCAAAAUCAGCCAGUUUAACGUAUCCACUGCUGUCUAAGAGCAGGUUUUCCGGCUUGAGAUCUCUGUGUUAAAACAACAGCAAAAGUUAGCAAAGUACAACAUAUCUGGGACACUGUGACAAAGGGGGAAAUAAUUAGUGAUGCAGAGUGAAUAAUGCAACUCAUUUUGUCAAAUAUAAGGAUAUUAAAAGUCACUGAGUAGAUCCAUGGCCUUUUAAAAGCACAAGGCUGAAGUUCUCUUGCUCUUGUGGACAUGCUCUACAGGGGAUAUUAAUAUUGGCUUCUAUUCCUUUGUCUGAUAUGUUUAGCAGUAAUGCUCCCUUACAUUUUAUAUUGCAAAAUGUUUCAUAUACAUGACAAUAAUAAAUAUACUUACCGGUGUAUGAUGUCAUUUUCAUGUAAGUAGGAAAUGGCCAUCAGCGUGCAAGCAGCAUAGAACCUGCAAAGAGACUCCCAUCAUUAGGUUAUUAAAUACAGAGUCACAUAUUUGUUAGUGUAGUGUAUCUCUGUCUAAAUUCUACUGGCUCGCUGUGAGUCAAGAGACCCACUUACUAUCAUGGUAUGUUCUCCACUUAAAUAAAUGUUGUGUAUUUCCAAAUAAUGAUGUUUUCUUACAUCCUCUUGCCUUUGUUAGAUAAACAAGGAGCCAGACCCCAUAUACUAUUUACUUUGUAUGAAUGGCAUCCGCAUGACUCUAGGUAAAGGUUAAUUUGUACUUACAUAGCUCUUGGUUGUUCAAAUGCACCUUCCCUCUGCAGGUGAGUCUUUAAGCAGCCGCCAGCAACGUACUCCAUCAGAAAGAAUAGAUGGUAUUCUGACUGGAAUGUGGCGUGGAUGUCCACAAUGAAAGGGUGGUCAGCAACGGCGAAAGCAACCCGUUUCUCUAGCAAGAUCCUGAAUAUUAAAAGCAUUCAUUGUCAAAACAAGCCAGUAGGAAAAGUGUCUCUCUGCCCAUAUGAGCCCUAUUCUUGUCUUAGAUUAUUUAGUGUAGUACUAAUAGGAGAUGUUAGUGCAAGUCCCAAGACACAUCACUAGUUUGGCAUUGCUUUUAUUAUCAGGGUAAUCUCUGAGUGCUAUAGCUGUUUGAAAGGGACAUGGGUAAGUAACAAAGCCAACCAUUCUAAAAUGAUCAUUUCCAUAAACUGACCUUUCAAUGCCCCUUGAGGUGGUGAUGCUCUCUUUUUUCAAUAUUUUCAGGGCAUAGGAUCUUUUGGUUGCCGCGUGUUCAACAAGGAGAACCUGGAAUAAGAGAGAAUCUCAGGAAACGCAGUAAGAUACAUGCAGAACAUCCAUACCCCUUUCUGAGAGCUGCAAGAAUCGAUCCAUACUUGCCCCCAGCAUUGCAAGGUUGCAUCUUACUGUGGGUCCUUUGUCACUGCCAGUGGAAAUCCUUCUGCUGCGUUAUCAGGUGGAGUUGGGCUGAUGUUCUCUUCAACCACAGAUAUCUCACUAUAAGGAAAAAGCACCUCUUCUACCUCUGGCACUGGUUCUUCAGUGGAUUCGUCAUGUUGAUGCUGCAAACAAGGGACAAUUGUGCAAUGAAUGAACGUGGCAUCACAUGGAUAUGAUAAAAGCAAUGUUUAUGUUCUGGCCAAGAAAUGAAUGGCAUCAGUAUAAAAUACUCACUUGGAAAGAAUCACUGGCAGGUUCUGAAACAACCUGAACCUCAGGUGCGCUGACCUCUUUUGCUGGGAGGUUUACACCAGAGUCACUAACAGUCUCCGCUGCUGCAUCUAAAGACACAGUAAAUAAACAUAGUGAAUGAAUUUUCAAAUAUAAAAACUUUCUUGAACCUAAGGCUUAAGGAUGUUUCCUGAUUUGGUCUCUAAUCGUCAGGCAUGAAGCGACAGCUUGAUAUUUCCAUCUGCCUUACCUCAGAAUGCCGGGGCCGACGCAAGAUGUUAGAAUGUCCGGCACCCAUCUUGACGAUCCUGUAUGAGAAAAAAAAGAAAGUCAAAUUAUCCCAUAAUCCUCGGCGAUAAAGAAGAUUAUUCAAGAACUGAGACUGAUGUCUAGAAAUAAACAGCAACCAUCCAAUUUUAUUUUUGGGUAUCUUGAUGCAGCGUGAAAAGACAAAAAUGUGAAGAAUAACAUGUCUGGCCUUAAUCUUUGGUCUAGCCUUGCCACUGGCUAAUGCUGGAUGUAAUUUUUGCAAAGUCAAUAAAAUUUACAGAGAAUAUGGACGGCUCCAAAGGUCUCUGGACAUAGUGAACGAUCUAACUGUCACCAGCAAAUCUUCAGAGUUAAACCUCAGCCUUUUGCAGUGAUUUUUGAAUGAUUCACAAGGCAGGAGCAUGACAGAAUGUGCCAAAAGCAAGCAGCACAGCAUACAGAGAUAGAGGUGCAAUCCUUUGUGCUGCAUUCUGCAAUGGCAAAAGUCCAUUGAGGAAAGAUGAAAUUUGUGCUAAUUUUUUUUCGUAUUCUGUACCUUGCAGGUUUUUUGGACAUUGCAAAUGCAUAUGGUUAUUUGAUGUAUCUGGAGUGUAUGUCAAUGGAAAGCAGAGAUUCCAAUAUGGUGGCUUGACCAUAAGUGGGAAAGGAAGACUUAGGGGCCGAUUCACUAAAUUCGAGUGAAGGAUUCGAAGUAAAAAAACUUCGAAUUUCGAAGUAUUU